rnacentral:rRNA from 1 species
GACGAACGCUGGCGGCGUGCUUAACAUAUGCAAGUCGAACGGAAAGGCCCUGCUUUUGUGGGGUGCUCGAGUGGCGAACGGGUGAGUAACACGUGAGUAACCUGCCCUUGACUUUGGGAUAACUUCAGGAAACUGGGGCUAAUACCGGAUAGGAGCUCCUGCUGCAUGGUGGGGGUUGGAAAGUUUCGGCGGUUGGGGAUGGACUCGCGGCUUAUCAGCUUGUUGGUGGGGUAGUGGCUUACCAAGGCUUUGACGGGUAGCCGGCCUGAGAGGGUGACCGGCCACAUUGGGACUGAGAUGCGGCCCAGACUCCUACGGGAGGCAGCAGGGGGGAAUAUUGCACAAUGGGCGGAAGCCUGAUGCAGCAACGCCGCGUGCGGGAUGACGGCCUUCGGGUUGUAAACCGCUUUCGCCUGUGACGAAGCGUGAGUGACGGUAAUGGGUAAAGAAGCACCGGCUAACUACGUG